rnacentral:rRNA from 1 species
UCGAACCGUCUUCUCAACGGAGACACUACUUUGACCAAUUGAC